CGUCUCCUGCAGUGUUCGAUAUUGGUCUGGAAACCCCUCGACCCUAAAUUUUCACUUCGGGGUCAUGCUCUGUCGACAGCAUGUGUGCUGAACCACUUCGUGUGGGUUGCCUGGUGCUGUCACGGCUAACCCCACUUGUUGCUCCGGUUCGAGAGCGACGACUGGUAACGGCACAGGCGGGAGGCGC
rnacentral:other from 1 species